GGACCUAUCUCCUUCCUCCGGUGGGACGGACGCACAGCGCGCACAGGCCGAGCCGAGCCCAGAUUGAUCUGCGCCCCUGUUCGAUCCCAUGCUCCUCAGGGACACCGUACACGGGCAAGACUCCGCGAGGAACGCCGCACCCUUUCUCCCGAUUCUUCCGCUCGCCACACGCCUCGAUUAGGAAAAAACCGAUCUCGCGGGGAAGCGCCACAGACCGCCGUCGCCGCCGAACGUUAUCGCUGCCUGUAGCGGAGCGAGCCGCCCGAGCGAACCCGACGCCAUUGGAGCACCCGUUGUUCACGUCGUCACCGCCGCCCGCAGAGGACGCCCCGCUGCCGUUGAACACCACCACCACCUCCGCUGCUCGACACCGCACAUCACCCGCCCGUCACCUCACCUUUGCCGGAGACCCGCCGGAGACGCACCACCGCCGACGCCCGACCGCCGCCGUCGUUUUCCUCUGUUUCGGUGGCAUGCGCGCCUAGCAACACUUCGGCCAGUCGGCCGCUGCCACGUGCCGAUAGCUACGGCAGUUGCUACAGAGCCGCAACAGUAUUUACUGCUCAGGCGAUUUCUGUUUUCCUUUUGUUUUAUUUUUGGAUUUCACCAAAACUUCUAAUAGUUAUAUCUUUUAGCAUAUAUAUCCAAUUUAGGUAAUUAUUUUACCUGUGAACUCACAAAAACCAUCACUUUAUCAUAGUACCAACUUUGCA